AUCAGAAUUCAUUACGACACCAUUUAGAAGAAUUGGAAAAAUUGGAUGAAACUAGAGCCAAUACAUUAAUGAUAAUGGAAACUAUACAAAAACGAAGGAAGACUUAUUAUGAUAGUAAGCUUAGACCAAAGGCUUUUAUGCCAAAUGAUUUGAUACUUCUUUAUGAUAGUUGAUUUAAAAUUUUUCUAAGAAAAUUUCAAGUUUGAUGGCAUGGACCAUAUCGAGUUAUUGACGAAUUUCCAAAUGGUUUAGUAUAAUUGGAAGAUUUUAUGAGUACUAAAUUUACAACAUGGAUCAAUGGCAAUGGGCUUAAACUUUAUUAUACAUAAAUCCAGGAUGAAUUUUUUCUUACAAAAAGGGGAGUUGACCUAAUUGAUUGGAUUAUAGUAAGAACUAGGAGGGGGGUUCUUGACAAACAUCGUAUUUUUUUUUUUUGGUUAAAGAGAAGAUAGCAAACAUGGUAUCUGAGAUAGCAAGGAUGGAGAUUGAUUGGAAGUAAUUGCAUGAGUGGCUGGUAAGUUACUGGUUGGUUGUUGACAACUUUGAGAAUUAGACUGAUGAUCAGGCAGUUUAGUUAGUAACAGUAGGUUGUUAGUGGAAUAAAUGGUUAAAAAUUCAAAGGGUCAUAGCCUUUGGAAUCCACUCGCCAAUGGAUCAUCU
rnacentral:lncRNA from 1 species